GAGGGGCAUCCGAAGUCGCUGUGCUAACCGCAAGGAGGCAGCUAACCACGGUAGGGUCAGCGACUGGGGUGAAGUCGUAACAAGGUAGCCGUAGGUGAACCUGCAGAAGGAUCA
rnacentral:rRNA from 1 species